GAUGAACGCUGGCGGCGUGCCUAACACAUGCAAGUCGAGCGAACAGACGCGGAGCUUGCUCGUCUGACGUUAGCCGCGGACGUGUGAGUAACACGUGUAUCCCCUCCUUAUAAGUCUGGGAUCACUUCGGGAAAUCGGAGCUAAUACGGGAUAAUAUAUUGAACCGCAUGGUUCAAUAGUGAAAGACGGCUUUGCUGUCACUUAUAGAUGGAUCCGGGCGUCAUUAGCUAGUUGGUAGGGUAACAGCUUACCAAGGCGACGAUGCGUAGCCGACCUGAGAGGGUGAUCGGCCACACUGGAACUGAGACACGGCCCAGACUCCUACGGGAGGCAGCAGUAGGGAAUCUUCGGCAAUGGGCGAAAGCCUGACAGAGCAACGCCGCGUGAGUGAUGAAGGUCUUCGGGUCGUAAAACUCUGUUAUUAGGGAAGAACAGAUGUGUAAGUAAAUAUGCGGGUCUUGACGGUACCGUAUCAAGAAGCCACGGCUAACUACGUG
rnacentral:rRNA from 1 species